CCUACGGGGGGCAGCAGUAGGGAAUUUUGCGCAAUGGGCGAAAGCCUGACGCAGCAACGCCGCGUGAUCGAGACGCCCUUCGGGGUGUAAAGAUCUGUCAGUGGGGACGAAACUUGACGGUACCCACAGAGGAAGCACCGGCUAACUCCGUACCAGCAGCCGCGGUAAUACGGGGGGUGCAAGCGUUGUCCGGAAUCAUUGGGCGUAAAGAGUUCGUAGGCGGCACGUAAAGUCAGGUGUUAAAGGUAGAGGCUCAACUUUGGAACGGCACUGGAUACUUGCGAGCUAGAAUGCGGUAGAGGUAGAGGGAAUUCCUGGUGUAGCGGUGAAAUGCUUAGAUAUCAGGAAGAACAUCGGUGGCGAAGGCGCUUUACUGAGCCGUAAUUGACACUGAGGAACGAAAGCGAGGGUAGCAAAUGGGAUUAGAUACCCGGGUAGUC
rnacentral:rRNA from 1 species